UCUAAACUGAGGUGACAGAGCCUGGUGUC
rnacentral:piRNA from 1 species